AGUGAACGCUGGCGGCGUGCUUAACACAUGCAAGUCGAACGAGAACGGAUUAUAGCUUGCUAUAAUUGUCAGCUAAGUGGCGCACGGGUGAGUAAUGUAUAGGUAAUAUGCCUCUUACUAAGGGAUAACAAUUGGAAACGUUUGCUAAUACCUUAUACUCCUUAUUAACAUAAGUUAAUAAGGGAAAGAUUUAUUGGUAAGAGAUUAGCCUGUAUUGUAUCAGUUAGUUGGCGGGGUAAUGGCUUACCAAGACUAUGACACAUAACUGGUUUGAGAGGAUGAUCAGUCACACUGGAACUGAGACACGGUCCAGACUCCUACGGGAGGCAGCAGUGGGGAAUAUUGCACAAUGGACGAAAGUCUGAUGCAGCAACGCCGCGUGGAGGAUGACACAUUUCGGUGCGUAAACUCCUUUUAUAUGAGAAGAUAAUGACGGUAUUAUAUGAAUAAGCACCGGCUAACUCCGUGCCAGCCGCCGCGGUAA
rnacentral:rRNA from 1 species